GACGAACGCUGGCGGCGUGCUUAACACAUGCAAGUCGAACGGAAAGGCCCUGCUUGCAGGGUACUCGAGUGGCGAACGGGUGAGUAACACGUGGGUGAUCUGCCCUGCACUUCGGGAUAAGCCUGGGAAACUGGGUCUAAUACCGGAUAGGAGCCAUUUUUAGUGUGAUGGUUGGAAAGUUUUUUCGGUGUAGGAUGAGCUCGCGGCCUAUCAGCUUGUUGGUGGGGUAAUGGCCUACCAAGGCGGCGACGGGUAGCCGGCCUGAGAGGGUGGACGGCCACACUGGGACUGAGAUACGGCCCAGGCUCCUACGGGAGGCAGCAGUGGGGAAUAUUGCACAAUGGGCGCGAGCCUGAUGCAGCGACGCCGCGGGGGGGAUGACGGCCUUCGGGUUGCAACCUCCUUUCGCUAGGGACGAAGCCUUUUGUGCCGGUACCUAGAUAAGAAGCACCGGAUAACUACGUG
rnacentral:rRNA from 1 species